rnacentral:lncRNA from 1 species
CGCUCUUCACUCAGCAUCCACUUUGUCUCCCAAUUGUGUAGGACUCUGUGAUCUUUUGAUUUGUUUCAAAGAAAAUAAAGGAAGCAAUUCUCUUUAUCCAUUUAAAACACAGGCAGUUGGCCAGCCCAAGACAGAGUCGUUUUCUUACCAGAUACCAGUGUCACUGGUUCUUCUUGUCCCUUGGGUCAGUUUCCUAGGUGGCUUUAUGAUCCCACAAGUCAUGUCUUAGCUCAGUCCCUCCCCCAGAUUAGUAACAGGCUUUGAGGGUGUGUGUGCCUGUGGUCCG